rnacentral:snRNA from 1 species
ACUAUUUUGUACUUUAAAGUUCCAAUAAAAAUCUGUUUUUAUCAGCUUACUUUCUGGUAUGAAUAUGUUAUCGGCUUCGUUAGAAACUUGCAUAAGUUUCUACGAAAAUACACAUUUUGUAGCGUGCUUGCACCGUCAUUUUCGCGAGUCGUCCUGAUAUAGCACUACAUUCAGGAACGGCCUAUUUCCU